rnacentral:rRNA from 1 species
AGCGCGUGUAGGCGGGCCGCCACGUCGGCUGCUGAAAUCCCCCGGCUCAACCGGGGAACGGGCACCGAUACGAGCGGCCUGGAGGGGGGUAGGGGGGGCCUGGAACUUCCGGUGGAGCGGUGAAAUGCGUUGAGAUCGGAAGGAACGCCCGUGGCGAAAGCGAGGCCCUGGACCCUUUCUGACGCUGAGACGCGAAAGCCAGGGGAGCGAACGGGAUUAGAUACCCGUGU